rnacentral:rRNA from 1 species
UUUACCUACGGGGGGCAGCAGUGAGGAAUAUUGGUCAAUGGCCGAGAGGCUGAACCAGCCAAGUCGCGUGAGGGAUGACGGCCCUACGGGUUGUAAACCUCUUUUGUCGGGGAGCAAGACCCGCCUCGUGCAGGCGGAGCGAGAGUACCCGAAGAAAAAGCAUCGGCUAACUCCGUGCCAGCAGCCGCGGUAAUACGGAGGAUGCGAGCGUUAUCCGGAUUUAUUGGGUUUAAAGGGUGCGCAGGCGGAUUUUUAAGUCAGCGGUCAAAUCGUGGGGCUCAACCCCAUCCAGCCGUUGAAACUGG